GGGUGAUCGGCCACAUUGGGACUGAGACACGGCCCAAACUCCUACGGGAGGCAGCAGUAGGGAAUCUUCGGCAAUGGACGAAAGUCUGACCGAGCAACGCCGCGUGAGUGAAGAAGGUUUUCGGAUCGUAAAACUCUGUUGUUAGAGAAGAACAAGGAUGAGAGUAACUGUUCAUCCCUUGACGGUAUCUAACCAGAAAGCCACGGCUAACUACGUGCCAGCAGCCGCGGUAAUACGUAGGUGGCAAGCGUUGUCCGGAUUUAUUGGGCGUAAAGCGAGCGCAGGCGGUUUCUUAAGUCUGAUGUGAAAGCCCCCGGCUCAACCGGGGAGGGUCAUUGGAAACUGGGAGACUUGAGUGCAGAAGAGGAGAGUGGAAUUCCAUGUGUAGCGGUGAAAUGCGUAGAUAUAUGGAGGAACACCAGUGGCGAAGGCGGCUCUCUGGUCUGUAACUGACGCUGAGGCUCGAAAGCGUGGGGAGCAAACAGGAUUAGAUACCCUGGUAGUCCACGCCGUAAACGAUGAGUGCUAAGUGUUGGAGGGUUUCCGCCCUUCAGUGCUGCAGCUAACGCAUUAAGCACUCCGCCUGGGGAGUACGACCGCAAGGUUGAAACUCAAAGGAAUUGACGGGGGCCCGCACAAGCGGUGGAGCAUGUGGUUUAAUUCGAAGCAACGCGAAGAACCUUACCAGGUCUUGACAUCCUUUGACCACUCUAGAGAUAGAGCUUCCCCUUCGGGGGCAAAGUGACAGGUGGUGCAUGGUUGUCGUCAGCUCGUGUCGUGAGAUGUUGGGUUAAGUCCCGCAACGAGCGCAACCCUUAUUGUUAGUUGCCAUCAUUCAGUUGGGCACUCUAGCAAGACUGCCGGUGACAAACCGGAGGAAGGUGGGGAUGACGUCAAAUCAUCAUGCCCCUUAUGACCUGGGCUACACACGUGCUACAAUGGGAAGUACAACGAGUUGCGAAGUCGCGAGGCUAAGCUAAUCUCUUAAAGCUUCUCUCAGUUCGGAUUGCAGGCUGCAACUCGCCUGCAUGAAGCCGGAAUCGCUAGUAAUCGCGGAUCAGCACGCCGCGGUGAAUACGUUCCCGGGCCUUGUACACACCGCCCGUCACACCACGAGAGUUUGUAACACCCG
rnacentral:rRNA from 1 species